GGAGCCCGAGUUGUAAUUUGUAGAGGAUGCUUCGGGUUUGGCCCCGGCCUAAGUUUCUUGGAACAGGACGUCACAGAGGGUGAGAAUCCCGUAUGUGGCUGGAAGUCUAUGCCCAUGUGAAGCUCCUUCGACGAGUCGAGUUGUUUGGGAAUGCAGCUCAAAAUGGGUGGUAAAUUUCAUCUAAAGCUAAAUACCGGCGGGAGACCGAUAGCGCACAAGUAGAGUGAUCGAAAGAUGAAAAGCACUUUGGAAAGAGAGUUAAAAAGUACGUGAAAUUGUUGAAAGGGAAGCGCUUGCGACCAGACUUGCCCGCAGUUGAUCAACCGGUGUUCUCACCGGUGCACUCUUCUGUGGUCAGGCCAGCAUCGGUUUGGGCGGCUGGAGAAAGGCCCUGGGAAUGUGGCUCUCUUCGGAGAGUGUUAUAGCUCAAGGCGUCAUGCAGCCAGCCUGGACCGAGGACCGCGCUUCGGCUAGGAUGCUGGCGUAAUGGUUGUAAGCGACC
rnacentral:rRNA from 1 species